CCUAAAAUAAAAGCCACAGUCGUUCAGCGCAUGGAGGUCGGAUCUCAGAGCCUGGAUUCGAGGGAAUAUUUAGCAUCUGUCUUGCUCUCCCUUGCUCAGCCAGAGCCACCAUUUGUAAACGGGGCGCAAUGCCAACUUUCAGAGGGCGAUAAAUGUGGAUGCAGAGGCAUUUCUACAUCAUUCCACUACCUCGAUUCCUUUGCCCGUCGAAGUGGAAGGAAAGAGGAACAGGCUGAACUAAGAAAAACCCAAGUGAAAACAUCUGAAUUUUGUUCACAAGAUGAUGGGGCACCUCUUGUGCUUCAAGACUCCAUGGAAUACUUUUCUGAAUACGCGAAUCAACUCUGGUGAGACGAGAACCGCAAACGUACAUGGAUUUUUUUUCAUUGGGGAAGGGUAAAAUGGCCGAUGAGAAGUAGAUGACGGCGCAAGUGAAGCUCUCUCAUUUAAAUCCACUUUGCCAGCCACUUGGGAAAGCUAAAAAGCUUCUCCACCUUUCUUCUCUGCAAACAAACUCUGGUUUCCCAGCUCCAGCAAAAUGUCAGAAGGCAUCUGCCAAGCACUCAGCCGGUAAACCAUGGCCAGAUAACCUGGCGUUUUAUCGAAGCAGGCCUAAAAGGUGGGGGACGUGGCUAAGGUGAAGGUUUAAAAGCAGCAGCAAAUUAGAGGGGGGGCUGAAAAGCUAAACAGAUGGGGCAUUAGCGCUAAAAGGCGUUAACCGAAAUGACUGCCCUUUUAGAAGUCAUUUAGAUGAGUGGUCACCCGGAAAAGCAAACUGAAGCAGCAAGGACGUCACGUGGUCUCUGGGUGGCCUGCCCCACAAGGUAGCCAGGUCCCUGUGGGUCUCGGCAGUUCAGAAGGGAAAAAUUUCAGCAAUUUCAGACACACGUACUUGUGUUGUCUGCCUUAAAGUUGGACCCCAAACUGCCCGCCUUGCAAGCAGAAUUCAGAAACCAGAAGUAUAAUAACAAAGACCGUCAUCUUUCCAGGGGCAUCUCCCUCCUGCCCCACUGGGCUCCCGAUGCCAAGCAGACCCCCACAGCACAGCCAAGGGGGAUCCUAGGAGACAAACUGCAACGGGGUACGGCGGAGGAAGGCACAGGUUGCCCUUCUUCCAUUAGACCAGUGUUUCUCAACCUUGGCAACUUUUGCUCCAAAUGCUGCCAGCGCCAUUUCUGUUUUCCCAGCUCUGAGAAUGUUUUAACACCCGCUUCUCCAACUCGGGAUCCUUCCAGAUGUGGGGGAACGACCCCUCCUCUCAUCUCCAGCCCACUAGCUGGCAGGGAGACCCAGGCCAGAAUCCCUGCAAGCAAGCGAACGCGUCUGAUGUUUCUGAAACGUUCUGCACCCCUCUGCAAAACGCUCUCAGGGCACCUAGAGGGACAACCGGAAACGUGGUCCGAGGUCGAUCGAGUCGUCCCACCGGAUCUGGCGGCCCCGAGUUCCACAAGAUCGCACCCUCCGGCAAGGGGUGGUUCCACCAGGGUGCCCUUUGUCUGCCAAACAGCUACGGAGAGGAAUUACUCUGAUCCAAGGCAGCUGAUGGGACCGUCUGACUCACAACCAGGCCGGAGAACACAAGACGGUUAAUCACCCAGCGACGGGUUUCCAAACGCUGCAGGCCGGGGUCACCCCCAGGGGGCUGCGCUUCCCAUUUAGAAAGGAGAACAAAACCUCACCCACUUGGCCACAAAUCAGAUUCAUCCACGUGCCCCAAACCUCCUUCUUGGCCACCCCCAGGACCCCAGUCACCGAAUACCGGAGGAUUUUUGCUGCUUAGAAGGGGAAAAUCACGCAAACGCCGGGAUCCAGAAGUGGGAGCCUAGGCCGCCAUCUCGGGGCUGCCACGCAAGCGCUGAUUUUUGAAGGAAGGAAAAAUGUUUUCGUUCAAGGCCUGCCUCUUCCUGGGGCUCCCCGUUUCUGCCAACUAGGCUGCAAUGCUGCUGGACUAUUUGGGGUACCAUCGCGCAGCUCUGGGGAGCUUUUCUUCCAAGGAAAAGGACAGUCCUGACUUGGUUGCCUCCCCAAAUCCCGUGCGAUGCACCCUGGGCGCCUCUCGGUCGCAGCUCUCGCCCUCUCCAAGCCGUAUUCGCGUCAAGAACACCCUCGUCGCUGCCACAAACGAAACGGAAAACCGGCAACCGGCACGGAGAGGCGUUGGACCCGCAGGCUGCCUCCGUUUUCCCCACUGGGAAAGGGGGCCAAAGAGACCCGACUGACGGAAAGAAGGGACAGAGCACGGCCUGAUUUUUCUGCACAACGCGAGCGCUUCGGAAGCCGAAGCCAAAGCCAAAGCUCUUUUCGGAGAUUCGGAGGCGGGUUUGGAGGAAGACGCGGUUACUUGCACCAGAGGCCGGUCAGCGGGUUGCAAAACAUCUGGCCGGGCGGACGAUAGGCAGGGCCGGCUGGUUAGAAGCGGGUCCGGUUGUUUCCCCCCAAGGCGGUGGCCGAACACAGCCUGUGCAAGAAACCCGCUUUGCACCCCCGCUGCCGGGGGAAAGGCGCCUUGCGCAAAGUAGACGCCCCUCCGGAGGUUCUUCCGCCUGAAGCUCAACAGCCUGGGAUCCACUCCUCCGUGCAUUCGCCUAAGGAGGGGCGGGGGGGGGGCAGCAGGAGGAGAGGGAGCCAGGGCACGACUGGCGAGAACAAAAACUGCCGAGAGGAAUUCACGCGGAGAAGGACGUGAACUGAAGAUCGAUGCCAGGCAGGCCUGUGGCUUGAUGGAUGUUGAAAUCCCACCCCUCACCUGCAUUUUCCACAAAUACAAAGUUCUCAACUUUGGGCCAUGAAACUGGAGGGAAGCAGAUUUCUCGGACGUUUAUGUGCAAAAGGGAAGACUCAGAGCUGACGAAAACAAGCUAGGAAUCGCCUCCACGCUUUUUGCUUAGCUUCAAGGACAAAAAAGAAAGAGUUAAGGUCAAUAAAACAGAAUUCAGUCUACUAAUCAGUUAAGAAAAAUUAACGCCCUGAGAAAGACACUGGCGUUUUGGGGGGGGGUGCACGGUUUUCUUUUCUAAGCUUUAAAAGACCUGUGGAGCAAAAUCGUUGCCUUUUUAAUGUUUUUAUUUUACAAGCCUAACUUUAUUUUAUUGUAAGGAUAGCUUCAUUUAAAAAAAAAAAAAAGCUUUUGUAUUCUUUUUUCUGAAAUGAGAGAUCUCCUUUUUAAAAAAGUUUGCGCCUGUUGAUCGUUGUCCAGACCUGGAACGGAUGAACACUGGCAAAAGCAGAGAGGAUGAGAAAUUGGAUUUCCUGGGUUUUAAACAGUUGAGUUUAAAGUUGGGGAGAGAAACUACUGAGAGGGAAUGUCCGAAAAGAAUCUGUUUGGGGGACGUUGAGGGAACGCAGGAGCCAGCUUAAUUUUUCUGUGAAGUUUCAGCAUUUUCUGCUGCUGGAAAGAAGAAACUCUGCGCCACAUUCCCGCCCUCGAUUAAGGAGGCAAGAAGCAAGUUGGUGAACGGCCUUCUUGGGCCCCCGUCCAAAGAAGACUGGGUAGCCCCCUUUGGAAAGCCCCCAAAUCCACUUAGGAGAAUUUAGAGUUCAGAAGCCGAAGGUGGGCUCUCAGGGAAGCCGCCGGGCGAUCUUUCUCGAUGGAGCCCGACGUGCCAGCCGUAGAGGAAACUCGGGGGGAGAAGGUAUCCACCGAGUCUGGAGCCCCACAGCCCGAGGAUGAGGCUGGCGUGGGUGGCGAGAAAGAGGCUCCCGCGCCCCUUCCUGCAGGGAACGGAGAAGAGGCCCCAGCUCGCCUCGGGGUUGACGGUGCUGCCGAAAGCGUCCGGAAGG